CGGAGCAGCGAACGGGUGAGUAACACGUGGGCAACCUGCCCCUAGCACUGGGAUAAGCCCGGGAAACCGGGUCUAAUACCGGAUACGAGAUCCGAGGGCAUCCUUGGAUCUGCAAAGGAUUCUGGCUAGGGAUGGGCCCGCGGCCUAUCAGCUUGUUGGUGGGGUAACGGCCUACCAAGGCGACGACGGGUAGCCGGCCUGAGAGGGCGACCGGCCACACUGGGACUGAGACACGGCCCAG
rnacentral:rRNA from 1 species